rnacentral:tRNA from 1 species
GGUGGCUCAGUGGUAGAGUGCUUGCCUUGCAUGCAUAAGACCCUGGGUUCGAUUCUCAGCACCA